AUGCGUAUGUUGAGAUGGAUGUGUGGCCACACAAGGAAGGAUCGAGUCCGGAAUGAUGAUAUACGAGAUAGAGUUGGGGUAGCACCAAUUGAAGAGAAGCUUGUCCAACAUCGUCUGAGAUGGUUUGGGCAUAUUCAGCGCAGGCCUCCAGAAGCUCCAGUGCAUAGCGGAUGGCUAAAGCGUGCGGAGAAUGUCAAGAGAGGGCGGGGUAGACCGAAUUUGACAUGGGAGGAGUCCGUUAAGAGAGACCUGAAGGAUUGGAGUAUCACCAAAGAGCUAGCUAUGGACAGGGGUGCGUGGAAGCUUGCUAUCCAUGUGCCAGAGCCAUGA
rnacentral:rRNA from 1 species